rnacentral:lncRNA from 1 species
AUAGGGUGUGAUUUUGGUGGCCGCCUGAACUGGCGCCACCGUGGACAGCGGACCAGUCAGACCUUUGAACGAAUAUUUGAGACAAACGGCUAAGAUUCGAGGGCUGGGGUUAGGGUGUUGGAAAGAGGAGGAAGAGGAGAUUCAGGGGUGUUAAUUAGGGCGUCGUUAUAGACUUGUCGGCGGCGACGACGAUUUUCAGGCGGCGCCAGACGGCGGAAAAGUUGUGAACUCAUAUUCAAAUGGAUUCUGAGGUGGGCUUUCCCUUGUCUAUGGUAGUACUGUGAAAACUGAGAUUGCUUGUCCUACUCGAUCCAUUAAGGAGGGAGCUGAGGGAGAGGAGUGGCUCCUUACUCUGGGAACCCUUGGCUGUAGUUAUUGG